GCCCCCAUAACUUAGUUGGUAAAGUAGCCGGCUCUUAACCGGAAGUCCUAGGUUCGAGUCCUAGUGGGGGCACCA
rnacentral:tRNA from 1 species